rnacentral:lncRNA from 1 species
CAAUUUUCAAUAUAUUUACCCUUCAAAAUCAUCUUGCCAUCCAUUUUGAUGUUUGGAUUUAGCCAUAUGGACUGGGCCAGAAUAUCGGUAUUGUUUUCAACUUUCAACUUAUUUUUCAAUUUUGAAAAAUUUACCAGGAUAUCAUGCCAAAAGGGAUUGACUUUUUUUGCUAAAUAAAGCAAUCCUUCCUUACUUAAAUGUAAAAUUUUGUCCCCCCCCCAAAUUUUUGUAUAUAACUAAGCAGCAAAAACUUUCCAAGGAGAGUAAUUUUGGGGGUCUAGUAAUUUAUACAGCCAAGACAUUUUUACACUAUAACAAAAAUAGUAAAUAUUAGGCAUCUUAAGACCGCCAUCACAGUGUUCGGACAUAACCACUGUUCUUUUCACUUUAUCUGGUUUUCCUUUCCAUAAAAAAUUGAAAAAUAUAUUUUGAAUCUCCUUCAAAACCCCAUCUGGGGGGUUAGGAAGGACAGUCAGAACUUGAACCAAAAUGGGAAGUGCUAAAGUUUUAAUCACAACCACCCUCCCAAUAUAUGUUAGUUCUCUAUAAGCCCAAGUAUUAAGAAGUGACUUGAUACUGUUUAUCUUGGCUGUAAAAAAAUUACAUAGAGUCUUAUCCCUUUUAGCAAGCUCAAACCAUAUACCUAAUAGUUUGAACCUCCCAGAAAGGUUCCAAACAAGAUUUUUUUCUGGCAAAAGUUUUUCCAUACUACCCUUUUUUGACCCAAUCCAUA